rnacentral:rRNA from 1 species
CCAGCAGCUGCGGUAAUUCCAGCUCCAAUAGCGUAUAUUAAAGUUGUUGCAGUUAAAACGCUCGUAGUCUGAUGUAAUGGGGAGUGGAGUGGGGAGCAGCGAUGCUCUUUGCUUUGGUCCUCAUCAUAGGGACAGCAAUGUCCCAGUUUACUUUGAGGAAAUUAGAGUGUUCAAAGCAGGCGAUUGCUUGAAUACUGCAGCAUGGAAUAAUGGAAUAGGACUCGCGUCUUAUUUUGUUGGUUUGGAGAUGUGAGUAAUGAUGAAUAGGGACAGUUGGGGGCAUUGGUAUUCAGUAGUCAGAGGUGAUUUACUGAAGACUAACUAGUGCGAAAGCAUUUGCCAAGGAUGUU